AUUGAACGCUGGCGGCAGGCCUAACACAUGCAAGUCGAGCGAGUGGCGGACGGGUGAGUACUGUCUGGGAAACUGCCUGACGGAGGGGGAUAACUACUGGAAACGGUAGCUAAUACCGCAUCCCAUCAGAUGUGCCCAGAUGGGAUGAGCUAGUAGGUGGGGUAUUGGCUCACCGAGGCGACCAUCCCUAGCUGGUCUGAGAGGAUGACCAGCCACACUGGAACUGAGACACGGUCCAGACGCCUACGGGAGGCAGCAGUGGGGAAUAUUGCACAAUGGGCGCAAGCCUGAUGCAGCCAUGCCGCGUGUAUGAAGAAGGCCUUCGGGUUGUAAAGUACGUUCAGCGAGGAGGCGUUACUCGCAGAAGAAGCACCGGCUAACUCCGUGCCAGCAGCCGCGGUAAUUC
rnacentral:rRNA from 1 species